GGCGAGGUAGCUCAGUUGGUAGAGCAGGUGACUGAAAAUCACCGUGUCAGCGGUCCGAUUCCGCUCCUUGCCACCA
rnacentral:tRNA from 1 species